rnacentral:rRNA from 1 species
UUAAGCAACUAAGCGUACACGGUGGAUGCCCUGGCAGUCAGAGGCGAUGAAGGACGUGCUAAUCUGCGAUAAGCGUCGGUAAGGUGAUAUGAACCGUUAUAACCGGCGAUUUCCGAAUGGGGAAACCCAGUGUGUUUCGACACACUAUCAUUAACUGAAUCCAUAGGUUAAUGAGGCGAACCGGGGGAACUGAAACAUCUAAGUACCCCGAGGAAAAGAAAUCAACCGAGAUUCCCCCAGUAGCGGCGAGCGAACGGGGAGCAGCCCAGAGCCUGAAUCAGUGUGUGUGUUAGUGGAAGCGUCUGGAAAGGCGCGCGAUACAGGGUGACAGCCCCGUACACAAAAAUGCACAUACUGUGAGCUCGAUGAGUAGGGCGGGACACGUGGUAUCCUGUCUGAAUAUGGGGGGACCAUCCUCCAAGGCUAAAUACUCCUGACUGACCGAUAGUGAACCAGUACCGUGAGGGAAAGGCGAAAAGAACCCCGGCGAGGGGAGUGAAAAAGAACCUGAAACCGUGUACGUACAAGCAGUGGGAGCACGCUUAGGCGUGUGACUGCGUACCUUUUGUAUAAUGGGUCAGCGACUUAUAUUCUGUAGCAAGGUUAACCGAAUAGGGGAGCCGAAGGGAAACCGAGUCUUAACUGGGCGUUAAGUUGCAGGGUAUAGACCCGAAACCCGGUGAUCUAGCCAUGGGCAGGUUGAAGGUUGGGUAACACUAACUGGAGGACCGAACCGACUAAUGUUGAAAAAUUAGCGGAUGACUUGUGGCUGGGGGUGAAAGGCCAAUCAAACCGGGAGAUAGCUGGUUCUCCCCGAAAGCUAUUUAGGUAGCGCCUCGUGAAUUCAUCUCCGGGGGUAGAGCACUGUUUCGGCAAGGGGGUCAUCCCGACUUACCAACCCGAUGCAAACUGCGAAUACCGGAGAAUGUUAUCACGGGAGACACACGGCGGGUGCUAACGUCCGUCGUGAAGAGGGAAACAACCCAGACCGCCAGCUAAGGUCCCAAAGUCAUGGUUAAGUGGGAAACGAUGUGGGAAGGCCCAGACAGCCAGGAUGUUGGCUUAGAAGCAGCCAUCAUUUAAAGAAAGCGUAAUAGCUCACUGGUCGAGUCGGCCUGCGCGGAAGAUGUAACGGGGCUAAACCAUGCACCGAAGCUGCGGCAGCGACGCUGAUGCGUUGUUGGGUAGGGGAGCGUUCUGUAAGCCUGCGAAGGUGUGCUGUGAGGCAUGCUGGAGGUAUCAGAAGUGCGAAUGCUGACAUAAGUAACGAUAAAGCGGGUGAAAAGCCCGCUCGCCGGAAGACCAAGGGUUCCUGUCCAACGUUAAUCGGGGCAGGGUGAGUCGACCCCUAAGGCGAGGCCGAAAGGCGUAGUCGAUGGGAAACAGGUUAAUAUUCCUGUACUUGGUGUUACUGCGAAGGGGGGACGGAGAAGGCUAUGUUGGCCGGGCGACGGUUGUCCCGGUUUAAGCGUGUAGGCUGGUUUUCCAGGCAAAUCCGGAAAAUCAAGGCUGAGGCGUGAUGACGAGGCACUACGGUGCUGAAGCAACAAAUGCCCUGCUUCCAGGAAAAGCCUCUAAGCAUCAGGUAACAUCAAAUCGUACCCCAAACCGACACAGGUGGUCAGGUAGAGAAUACCAAGGCGCUUGAGAGAACUCGGGUGAAGGAACUAGGCAAAAUGGUGCCGUAACUUCGGGAGAAGGCACGCUGAUAUGUAGGUGAAGUCCCUUGCGGAUGGAGCUGAAAUCAGUCGAAGAUACCAGCUGGCUGCAACUGUUUAUUAAAAACACAGCACUGUGCAAACACGAAAGUGGACGUAUACGGUGUGACGCCUGCCCGGUGCCGGAAGGUUAAUUGAUGGGGUUAGCCGCAAGCGAAGCUCUUGAUCGAAGCCCCGGUAAACGGCGGCCGUAACUAUAACGGUCCUAAGGUAGCGAAAUUCCUUGUCGGGUAAGUUCCGACCUGCACGAAUGGCGUAAU